rnacentral:rRNA from 1 species
GAUGAACGCUGGCGGUAUGCUUAACACAUGCAAGUCGAACGGACUCUUCGGAGUUAGUGGCGGACGGGUGAGUAACGCGUGAGAAUCUGGCUUUGGGUUCGGGACAACCACCGGAAACGGUGGCUAAUACCGGAUGUGCCGAGAGGUAAAAGAGAAAUUGCCUGAAGAUGAGCUCGCGUCUGAUUAGCUAGUUGGUGAGGUAAAGGCUCACCAAGGCAGCGAUCAGUAGCUGGUCUGAGAGGAUGACCAGCCACACUGGGACUGAGACACGGCCCAGACUCCUACGGGAGGCAGCAGUGGGGAAUUUUCCGCAAUGGGCGAAAGCCUGACGGAGCAAUACCGCGUGAGGGAAGAAGGCUCUUGGGUUGUAAACCUCUUUUCUUAGGGAAGAACAAAAUGACGGUACCUAAGGAAUCAGCAUCGGCUAACUCCGUG